rnacentral:rRNA from 1 species
UACGAAGGUCCCAAGCGUUAUCCGGAUUUAUUGGGUUUAAAGGGUGCGUAGGUGGGCAGGUAAGUCAGUGGUGAAAUCUCCAAGCUUAACUUGGAAACUGCCGUUGAUACUAUCUGUCUUGAAUAUUGUGGAGGUGAGCGGAAUAUGUCAUGUAGCGGUGAAAUGCUUAGAUAUGACAUAGAACACCAAUUGCGAAGGCAGCUCACUACUCAAUCAUUGACUCUGAGGCACGAAAGCGUGGGGAUCAAACAGG